rnacentral:rRNA from 1 species
UACGGGGGGUCCAAGCGUUGUUCGGAAUCACUGGGCGUAAAGCGCACGUAGGUGGCUUUUCAAGUCUGUUGUGAAAGCCCAGGGCCUAACCCUGGAAGUGCAGCAGAUACUGUUAAGCUUGAGUAUGGGAGAGGAUAGUGGAAUUUCUGGUGUAGUGGUGAAAUACGUAGAUAUCAGGAGGAACACCGGUGGCGAAGGCGGAUCUCUGGGCCUUGCCUGACGCUGAGGCGCGAAAGCUAGGGGAGCGAACAGG